UUAUUAUCAAUUAAUAUUAUUUUUAAUAACUAUAAACGUGUCGUUUUCGCAAAUCUAUAACCAUUAACCAAAAUCAUAUAACCGUGACUGAUAUAGUAAUGAUUAUAACCAAGUUAAUCGGCAAAACACACCUUCUGUUUCUUAUAUUUAUGUUUCCUUUAUUUAUUAUCAAUGAAUACCUCUUUUUGUACCUUUUCUUUAUGCCUCCGCAAUCCCCUUUGUGCGACUCUUACAACAAGCAACUGCACGAUUAGUUUACAACUUGUAUACAUCACAAUUGUAUGGUAACUAUUAUAACAUUAUUUUUCAUACGCACGUACAUUGUCUAUAUAAGGAAUCUGUAUUCUGUUCCGCUCAUUAUUUAGGAAAUACGCGGAUAAAAUGUUUAAUCGUUACUAUGUGAAACAGUUGAUUGAGCUAUUUUCGAAGGUGCUAGACCUCUUUAAACCACCCUGGUUUCGCCUAUACGAUUAACAGAUAACACACGUGUUUUUGCAAAAUUGUGGUUUAUUAUCCGUUAAUUUCAUCCAUUCGCUUCGACUGGGACCCAAGACCUUAAACGAAUACAUUUUACAUUUAAACAUACUACAAUAGCAGUUAGUAUUAAAAUAUUAAAAAAUUAAACACAGGUAUUUAAAUUACGUUUUUGUAAUUAUUUAUCCUUAUCAUUUUCGAAUAACUGUACCCAACUAGGUUUCGUCAGCACUGCCACUUUUGGAUUUUAAUACCAAACUUACACAGUAUCGUGUAAUUUUUUUGUAUAAUCUCAUGCAUAAAGAGUCACGCGUCGCCGAAAGUUCUUAUCAAAUACGUUUACACUAUCAACGAUCCCUGUGUAUUUUCUAUCCGAACUAGUGCGGUAUUAUCAACUACC